GAUGAAGAACGUAGCGAAAUGCGAUAAGUAGUGUGAAUUGCAGAAUUCAGUGAAUCAUCGAAUCUUUGAACGCACAUUGCGCCCCUCGGUAUUCCGUGGGGCAUGCCUGUUCGAGCGUCAUUUAACCCCUCAAGCCUAGCUUGGUCUUGGGUGCUUGUCCCGCCUCUCGCGCGGCGACUCACCUCAAAGUCAUUGGCAGCCCGCAUCUCGCCGGCCGUGAGCGCAGCACAGACGCGCUCUUGGCAACGACGGAUCGGCUCUCCAAAAGCUUAUUUCAACCACUGACCUCGGAUCAGGUAGGGAUACCCGCUGAACUUAAGCAUAUCAAUAAGCGGAGGA
rnacentral:misc_RNA from 1 species